GUGAAACUGUGAAACACUUUCGAAGAGGAAACGGUUCAAGAGGCACACUUUGUUUACGGACAUUUUAACUCGGGUCUGCAAUGGCUGGAACUCAAUCCUUGCUUGUCUCCAUUCUGGAUGAACUGCUGGCAGAUGACCUGAAGAGAUUUAGGUGGUAUCUGUCAUGUGAUGUGCCAGGGGGCUUUGAAACCAUCCCAAAGGGCAAGGUGGAGGAAGCCAAGCAUGUGACAGAGACUGUGACUCAGAUGGUGGAGGGCUAUGGAGAAGAUGGGGCAGUGACAGUCACUCUGCAUGUCCUGAGGAAAAUAGGCCAGAACAAUCUCGCUCAGAAACUGGAGAAAGAGCACAAUGGUAGAGGAGCUGGUAAGCCUUAGCUGCUUUCAGCCCACACCACCAAAAGACCCUGGUCCCUGGUGUGGCAGACUUAUCACAGCCAGAAACUCUCUCUCAGCCUCUCUCAUUCCAGCCGGACCCAGCCACGUGGAUGGAGCCCCUGUCCAGCCCGGGGCAGCUGCACCCCAGGUGUCCAUGUCAGCCACCAGUGGAGGGAAAAUUGUGGCACCCCUGAUCUCUGGCUCUAAUUUUCAGGGUCCUGUCAACAUGAACUUCAGUUAAGGUUCCUGUGUCUCCUGCUGAAUGAUACUGCCAAGAUCCCUCACCCACCUCACCCACCUACCUAACUUCAGGGCUACACCAAGGAAACUCAACUCAACCCCAGACCAGCACAGAGACUUCGUGGUAGAACACUCAUCGAUACUGGAGAAGAGACAGGAGCAUCACUGUCUCAGACAGACCGGUUGCCUCUGUUUGAUGUAGCUGUACUCUGGAAGCUAGUGGAGGCUCCCUUCCGUUUCAUCUGUUAAUAAGUGGGACCCGUUUGCGUUUGUUGUAGUUUAGUUAUGUCCUAGGAGGGCUUUGCCCUCUAAUCUAUCUGAACGUCCAUGGCUGACCUAAGAGUUCUCUGUCUGUGGCUGUUAUUAAGGGACUAGGGGGAAUAUUUGCUGUUUAUUAACAUUUUUUUUCUUUUGUUAUUUUCCAAACAAAUCUUUUAUAUGAUAUCUCACUCUUUGUAGUUGUAAAAUGGUGCAUUAGAAUGACCUAAGAGUUCUCUGUCUGUGGCUGUUAUUAAGGGACUGGGGGGAAUAUUUACUGUUUAUUAACAUUUUUUUUCUUUUGUUAUUUUCCAAACAAAUCUUUUAUAUGAUAUCUCACUCUUUGUAGUUAUAAAAUGGUGCAUUAGAAUGACCUAAGAGUUCUCUGUCUGUGGCUGUUAUUAAGGGACUGGGGGGAAUAUUUACUGUUUAUUAACAUUUUUUUUCUUUUGUUAUUUUCCAAACAAAUCUUUUAUAUGAUAUCUCACUCUUUGUAGUUAUAAAAUGGUGCAUUAGAAUGACUCUGAUCAUAAAGCAGCAGGGCUGAAUGACAGUCUUUAUGAUACUUGCGGUGCGAUAGUUUGCAGCCUUAUUUAACAUCCUUCACAACUCUUCAGGCUGACUGUUUCUGUCAGCUUCCUGCUGUAGCUGAUGGAAAAUAGAUUUAUCAG